rnacentral:rRNA from 1 species
GUGGGGAAUAUUGGACAAUGGGCGAAAGCCUGAUCCAGCCAUGCCGCGUGUGUGAAGAAGGUCUUCGGAUUGUAAAGCACUUUAAGUUGGGAGGAAGGGCAGUAAGUUAAUACCUUGCUGUUUUGACGUUACCGACAGAAUAAGCACCGGCUAACUUCGUGCCAGCAGCCGCGGUAAUACGAAGGGUGCAAGCGUUAAUCGGAAUUACUGGGCGUAAAGCGCGCGUAGGUGGUUUUGUAAGUUGGAGGUGAAAUCCCCGGGCUCAACCUGGGAACUGACUCCAAAACUGCAUGACUAGAGUACGGUAGAGGGUAGUGGAAUUUCCUGUGUAGCGGUGAAAUGCGUAGAUAUAGGAAGGAACACCAGUGGCGAAGGCGACUACCUGGACUGAUACUGACACUGAGGUGCGAAAGCGUGGGGAGCAAACAGGAUUAGAAACCCCAGUAGUCC